UACUUACUCCAAUCCUCCAUGCUACAACUAGCGAUGACAGCUGACGUUCGUGCGUUAGAGAUGGAAAGGAUGAAACAAAACUUGUGUGACUGGGGCUUUGGAAGUCUGGUACAAAUAUUCGAAGGAAAACAUGAGCCUGGAUCAAUAUCUGAAGGAGAUUGACUGCAAGUCGCAUUCUCAGCCAUACAUCCUACGACUUGGUGGAACUCCCAUUUCACCACAGCAAGUAUUCGUUGUCAUCGAAAGGAAGGCUAUGCUGCAACCAUCGCUUACCAAGGCCCUUGAUGUGUGCUUUAAGUUGUAUUUUGUAUGCGAUCUACAGUAGCAGGAUAAGUGCUAUGGUGCUUGGGAGUUUCUUGAAGCGGUUGUGUAUGGCAUAAAGGGAAAAGCAGUUAAAAGCAGCGCAAUCAGGGAUUUCCGAGCAUUCUGCUCCAGCAAAAUGUGAGCUCUUCACAAGUUCAUGGUGUUUCAGGUUUUCAAAAAGUUAAGUUAAUAACCAAGUUUACUAAAAGAAUGCCUAAGAGCUAAAAGUUCUUGUCUUUAUUUACAUGCAAGCUAGAAAAAAACCUAACUGUGUUUUAUCUGACUAUUGACUUAUGUUUAAUGCUGUAAGCUUUUGUAAGAGUCUGUUUUGAUAUAGGACAUACAUGUUGCCCUUUACUGAUGUAGUAUUAUUAAGUAUUGUAUGUUCAGUGCUAGCCAAGUCCGACAGGAGCAGGCUUGAAAAUAUAAAUUCUCGCUAAUAAUUCUUGGACUGCAUUGACGAUACAAGACUGACAAUUAAUACUAUAUUGGUGAAAGGAAAAUCUCAACAUAAAAACAAAAUAAUUAUCAGUCCAAGAAUGUUCUCAACAAUUUACAUGUGUCAGUAAAAAAGUACUUCAGACCAUUUUUUUUCAGCAGAUUACCAAAAAAAAAAUAAUAAUAAAUAACCAAUGACUUUUUUAUACCCCCACCCCUCAAAAAAGUAAUAGCCAUUUGGCCUUUGAGUUUUUUACACAUAGAAAUGGAUGUACGCAUAGAACUCAAAGACAUAAUACAAGGUGUUAAAUCAAUUCAUCAAUAAGAGGUAAAACCUAAAUCCCAUAAUUAAAGUGUUUAUAAACACUUUAAUUAUGGGAUUCAGGUUUUCUGUGGGUUUUUUGUAUUUUGAACUCCUUUUUCUAUGACCAGUUGAUCUGGUUUUGUUACACAUGUUGACCUAUAACUGUUUUGGUGUCUUACUGUUGUUACAAAUCAAAACUGAAAUAUGUGGACAAACAGUACUGUUUUCAGUACAUGUUAACUUUAAAAGAUUGCCAAAUCCUGCAAUGCGAUUCUUUGUAUACUGAAUUAUUUUACAAUAAGUAAUUGAGAAUAAAUUGAAGUUUUAUAUUUAUAAA